GCAUAGCAUAUAGCUGGGGAUCUUGGCAGUAAACAGAAUGUUGUUCAGAGGACAGUAUAACAGCGAGCUAUUAAGCCACACACUCCAUUUGCGGCACACCUCCUAGAAAAAUUCCUGUUUAACACAACCCAACUUGUGACACUGAAUUAAACAAUUUAGUUAAAUAUUGUGCUUUGUAGCCCCUCUUAGCUCUUCUUCAACAGGAUCUGCCUUUUCCCUGGUAGAAAGGAGUUUCUGGUUUUUAUGCAUCUCAGUUUUACGUAAGGCCACAGGUUCUACCUCUCAAGUGAUAUCUCUAUGAAA
rnacentral:lncRNA from 1 species